ACUCCUACGGGAGGCAGCAGUGGGGAAUAUUGGACAAUGGGGGCAACCCUGAUCCAGCCAUGCCGCGUGUGUGAAGAAGGCCUUCGGGUUGUAAAGCACUUUAAGCGGGGAGGAAGGCCUGAUGGCUAAUAUCCAUCGGGAUUGACGUUACCCGCAGAAUAAGCACCGGCAAACUUCGUGCCAGCAGCCGCGGUAAU
rnacentral:rRNA from 1 species